rnacentral:lncRNA from 1 species
GCCUGAUUGACUUAAGACAAUCUUCUCCCUGCUUUGGCAAUGAUUGGUUCCUUGAUGGACAUGUGAAUCCAAAUUGGACCACUGACAAAUAAGAAGGGAUCUGACUGAGGGAUUCUGAGAAAGUUCUUGCUCACCCUUCAGGCAGGAGCAAAAAGCUUUCCGAAUCAGGACAUGAGACACUCAAGGUAAAGAGCAGAAUUGCAGCAUGAAGGAAAUUCAAGGAGAAGUCAUUUCCAGGGUAAAGUAAGAGAUUUAAUGUAUUAUUAAGAUUUUUUGGUAGCAGGCAACAGAAUCCUAUGGUGGCUAAAAUAUGGAGAUGCGGGGGGUGAUGAGUGUGGAGAGAUGUAUUGUCCUGCUAGAAUGACAGGAAAACUGAAGAAACUGGGCUUGUAACAGAGAGAAACGAGGAACCUCCAUAUGGUCUCAAAAACUAGAAUGAAUGAACAUACACUAUAUCUUCUACUGUAGUUUCAUUUCAUUCAAUAACUAAAAUGCCAGAAGAAAAAGUCCAAUUGGCCAAGCUUAGGUCACAUGCCUGCCCUUGACUGUACUGUGUGGUUAACGCAAGCACCUGUAGAGGCAGCAUCCCAGUACGGCUUCAGCUGCCAUAAUAGGAGCACAGGCACCUGAGUUUACC